AAAAAUAUUAAAAAACAUAUACAAAUUUUUAAUGAUCAACUUCAAUCCUCUUUCUCUGAUACAAUUUGAAUCACCAGCAAUUAAACCCUAAUUUUCAUUUCACUCUGGAACACAUGCAUCGUUCACUGUAAAGUAGAAUUUCAAAGCUUCAAUUGCAGUCGCUCACUUCGUUUUAUGGCAAUAAGCUCCACAUUGAACUCAAGGAAGUAGUUUCCACCACUGAUUUUAGUCAUGGAGCAUCACAAAGAGAUAAUCAAGAGUGGGUGCCAUAAGAUUCUUCAAGGAAUCAAUUCAAUGUCUUUGGUGAAUUUAGAUGACCAGCAAGUUCAUUCCUUAGUGAUGAUGAGAGAAAUUGCGCGUGGGGUUGUUGAUGGUCGAGAUAGAAAGGUGACUAAGAAUGGCGUGAUUACUGCGUUGCAUUACAGCAUUGAGAAAAUGGUGUGUGCAUCCAGAGAUAUCAUUCAUAUGUUAAGUAGGAUGUCCUAUGAAGGCUUGGAUGACCAGAGGAUGCAUUUAGUUUUGAGGAUGAAAGAAAUUGCACAUGGGAUUGUUGAUAAGCAACCUAGAGUUGCAAUAACUAGGUCUGAGAUACUUGCGGACCAAGUUUGCUUUGUGGAUGAAGAGGCGAGAGAUAGCCCUGUGGUUGAUUCAAUCAAGAUCAGCAAUGGGGAUAUUCUAAUUGAUGAGGCACAAAGCAUGAUGCAUGAAGAUGAGAUGUUGGACGUGGAUCAGGUUUUAAGAUUUGAAAAUGGGAUAGAUGAAGUAGAAGAGUCUCUAAUGUCAUCGGGCUUUCAGCAAUUUCUUCUGUGGCCUUCCGAUGAUUACAUCACCAUUGAGUGGGUUCAGGACAUGAUGUUCAUCCUUGAGAAGGCUUCACAGAAGACAUUGCCAACUGAAUUCUGUCAUGUUGUGCAGACCUUUGUGGUGUUCAAAUUGAUAGAUGCUGCUUGUAAUGUUUUAUGUAAAGAACCAAACUGUGUGGAGAUUAAUUGCCUCGGAGAAGAUUCAAAAGUCAUUGUUGUAGGCGAUAUACAUGGGCAGUUUCAUGAUUUAAUGUUUCUUUUGAAGCAUGCAGGAAUGCCUUCUGAGAACCAGUUUUAUAUUUUCAAUGGUAAUUAUGUUGAUGAAGGAGCUUGGGGCAUUGAGGUGUUCUUGGUCUUGCUAGCUUGGAAGGUCUUGAUGCCUCACAGAGUAUAUCUACUCCGUGGAAAUCAUGAAUCAAGAUAUUGCACUGCACAAUAUGGUUUUAAGAAGGAGGUACAGACCAAAUAUGGCAAUCAAAGUGAAGAUGUGUACAAUAAAUUCCUAGAGUGUUUCAAGGAACUUCCAUUGGCGUCAGUUAUUGCCAACCGUGUUUAUACUACUCAUGGGGGGCUUUUCCGCAGCAUUCAUGCUGCUGCUUCCCCUUCAGAAAAGCCAAAAUGGAAAAUGACACCAAGGAUGGACCUUGGUUCCUUAGUUGAUUUAUCUCAAGUUAAAAGAACUUGCAUAGAUUCUCCACAUGAGGGUCCUAACAUAUUAUUGAGUGACAUUCUCUGGUCAAAACCAUCGAAUAGGGAUGGUCUGAGGGUUAACGCAGGUCGAAAAUUAGGUUUAUGGUGUGGUCCUGAUUGUACCGAGGCUUUCUUAAAGCAGCACAAUUUGAAGCUGAUCAUCAGAUCACAUGAAGGACCAGAUGCAAGGGCUGGUAGGGAUGAUUUUGGAGAUAUGUUGAACGGGUACAGCAUAGAUCAUGAUGGCGAGUCAGGAAAGCUAUAUACACUUUUUAGUGCUCCAGAUUACCCGCAGUUUGGGGGGAAGACAUAUAACAAUGAAGGAGCAUAUGCAAUAUUGAAGUCGCCUGAUUUUGCAACUCCUUCCUUUCAGUCAUUUAAAUCAGCAGAAAGACCCAUGGUGUAUCCUUAUAUUGAUUUUGAUGCUGAUGACAUGGACUCAAGUAAACUUGACUCUUCUCAAAUCGACACAGAGGCCUCAACCUCCACCUUUUCUGCUCCUCAAGAUGCGUCGAGACCCGAAUUUGACUUUGAGUCAUUAGGCAUAUAUAAUGCUCCAAGUUGGAGUGUUCAGCUUCCGGAUGGUUCAGGCGGUUCUCAAGUUGUGCAGGUUCCAAGAGCUCCUUUGGUGGAAGGGUUGCCCCUCCCAGCUAACAUAGAGGAGCCACAUGCGGGUGCUUAUAAGUAUUUGUUCGAGCUCGUUGCUGGCCUUAAACACAUGAUUGCAACAAGGGAGACCGAGAACAGUGCUCAUGUAUCGGCUUUGCGAAGUAAAGCUAGGAAACGGAAAGGUAGAGGUCACAGUUGAUGUACACAUGACACAAAAGCAUGUGACAGAAGGUGCCUUGUUAUCCUUUGAUUGAAUGACUCUGCUAACAUGUAUGUCCUUCAUGGUAUAAGUUGCUAAGGAGCGAGAUUGGAAGAAGUGAGACAUCUAUGAAAUGAUUAUGCUGUUGAAGAUAAAUAUGAAGUUUUAUAUGAAAUAUUUAUUCGAUCUAUUCUAGUGUUUAAUAAAUUUUUAUUCAUUCGUCUUUUAUUGCGGUAUGAUGACCUUAUUCUUUUCGAAGUCAUUUAUGUACUUAGCUUGCCAAACAUUGUGUCGAAAAAUCUUAUAACUCACUUUGCUCCAGAUUACAUAAUUCGAAAUUCACUUUUUCAAGGCCUA